GCUGAGCUUGCCAGAAAUACCCAUUUACUUUAUAUUUGAGAAAUCAAAAGAAGUUUAAAAAAAAGAAUUAACAUUUUGAUUAACUUAGAGACACAAAACGAACAUAGUUCUCUAAUUUCUCCAUUCGAGAGUUAGGAUUAAGAUUUUUUAAAAAGUAUGUAUAUGUCCAACUGUUCUUAGGUCCAAACUGACUUAAAAAUGAGUAGGG